AGAGUUUGAUCCUGGCUCAGGAUGAACGCUAGCUACAGGCUUAACACAUGCAAGUCGAGGGGAAACGAUAUUGGAAGCUUGCUUCCGAUAGGCGUCGACCGGCGCACGGGUGAGUAACGCGUAUCCAACCUGCCCAUCACUUGGGGAUAACCUUGCGAAAGUAAGACUAAUACCCAAUGAUAUCUCUAGAAGACAUCUGAAAGGGAUUAAAGAUUUAUCGGUGAUGGAUGGGGAUGCGUCUGAUUAGCUUGUUGGCGGGGUAACGGCCCACCAAGGCGACGAUCAGUAGGGGUUCUGAGAGGAAGGUCCCCCACAUUGGAACUGAGACACGGUCCAAACUCCUACGGGAGGCAGCAGUGAGGAAUAUUGGUCAAUGGGCGAGAGCCUGAACCAGCCAAGUAGCGUGCAGGAUGACGGCCCUAUGGGUUGUAAACUGCUUUUAUAAGGGAAUAAAGUGAGCCUCGUGAGGCUUUUUGCAUGUACCUUAUGAAUAAGGACCGGCUAAUUCCGUGCCAGCAGCCGCGGUAAUACGGAAGGUCCGGGCGUUAUCCGGAUUUAUUGGGUUUAAAGGGAGCGUAGGCCGGAGAUUAAGCGUGUUGUGAAAUGUAGACGCUCAACGUCUGCACUGCAGCGCGAACUGGUUUCCUUGAGUAUGCACAAAGUGGGCGGAAUUCGUGGUGUAGCGGUGAAAUGCUUAGAUAUCACGAAGAACUCCGAUUGCGAAGGCAGCUCACUGGAGCGCAACUGACGCUGAAGCUCGAAAGUGCGGGUAUCGAACAGGAUUAGAUACCCUGGUAGUCCGCACGGUAAACGAUGGAUGCCCGCUGUUGGUCUGAAUAGGUCAGCGGCCAAGCGAAAGCAUUAAGCAUCCCACCUGGGGAGUACGCCGGCAACGGUG
rnacentral:rRNA from 1 species